GGAAUAUUGGACAAUGGGCGCAAGCCUGAUCCAGCAAUGCCGCGUGAGUGAAGAAGGCCUUAGGGUUGUAAAGCUCUUUCGUCAGGGAAGAUAAUGACGGUACCUGAAGAAGAAGCCCCGGCUAACUCCGUGCCAGCAGCCGCGGUAAUACGGAGGGGGCUAGCGUUGUUCGGAAUUACUGGGCGUAAAGCUGACGUAGGCGGAUGUACAAGUUGGGGGUGAAAGCCCAGGGCUCAACCCUGGAACUGCCUUCAAAACUGUAUGUCUUGAGUUCGAGAGAGGUAAGGGGAAUUCCUAGUGUAGAGGUGAAAUUCGUAGAUAUUAGGAAGAACACCGGUGGCGAAGGCGCCUUACUGGCUCGAUACUGACGCUGAGGUGCGAAAGCGUGGGGAGCAAAC
rnacentral:rRNA from 1 species